AUUAAACUUGAGAGUUUGAUCAUGGCUCAGAACGUACGCUGGCGGCACGCCUAACACAUGCAAGUCGAACGAGGUAGCAAUACUAAGUGGCAGACGGGUGCGUAACAUGUGGGAAUCUGCCUUUUGGUUCGGAACAACAUGGGGAAACCUGUGCUAAUACCGGAUAAGUCCUAACGGAGAAAGUUUUAACGCCGAAAGAUGAGCCCGCAUUUGAUUAGCUUGUUGGUGAGGUAAAAGCUCACCAAGGCAAUGAUCAAUAGCUGAUUUGAGAGGAUGAUCAGCCACACUGGGACUGAGACACGGCCCAGACUCCUACGGGAGGCAGCAGUAGGGAAUAUUGGACAAUGGGGGAAAC
rnacentral:rRNA from 1 species